AUGCAACUGCCAUUGGGAUACACCCUGUGCUCGCUUUGAAUGAAAUGCAAGCAAGUGAACACAGCUGGUGGUAUCCAGUGGCCGUUUGGCAU
ensembl:ncRNA mir-317 mir-317 stem loop